rnacentral:rRNA from 1 species
AUUGAACGCUGGCGGCAUGCCUUACACAUGCAAGUCGAACGGUAACAGGUCUUCGGAUGCUGACGAGUGGCGAACGGGUGAGUAAUACAUCGGAACGUGCCCGAUCGUGGGGGAUAACGCAGCGAAAGCUGUGCUAAUACCGCAUACGAUCUACGGAUGAAAGCGGGGGACUCGCAAGACCUCGCGCGGACGGAGCGGCCGAUGGCAGAUUAGGUAGUUGGUGGGAUAAAAGCUUACCAAGCCGACGAUCUGUAGCUGGUCUGAGAGGACGACCAGCCACACUGGGACUGAGACACGGCCCAGACUCCUACGGGAGGCAGCAGUGGGGAAUUUUGGACAAUGGGCGCAAGCCUGAUCCAGCCAUGCCGCGUGCAGGAUGAAGGCCGUUCGGGUUGUAAACUGUCGUUUUGGUACGGAACGAAAAGCUCUCUCUAAUACGAGGGGUAGAAGUAGACGGUACCGUAAGAAGUAAGCACCGGCUAACGUACGUCGCCAGCAC